rnacentral:rRNA from 1 species
AAAUGUUCUUCGUGAACAUGGCAGACUGCUCAGUAACACGUGGAUAACCUACCCUAAGGACAGGAAUAACCCCGGGAAACUGGGGAUAAUACCUGAUAAAUUAGAGAUGCUGGAAUGCCCUCUAAUUCAAAGGUCCGCCGCCUUAGGAUGGAUCUGCGGCUCAUCAGGUAGUAGUGGGUGUAACGUACCUACUAGCCUACGACGAGUACGGGUUGUGAGAGCAAGAGCCCGGAGAUGGAUUCUGAGACACGAAUCCAGGCCCUACGGGGUGCAGCAGGCGCGAAUUCUUUACAAUGCAGGCAACUGCGAUAAGGGGACACCGAGUGCCAGUGAAUUUCAUUGGCUGUCUUAAUGUUUAAAACGCAUUCAAUAGCAAGGGCUGGGCAAGACCGGUGCCAGCCGCCGCGGUAAUACCGGCAGCCCGAGUGGUAACCACUAUUAUUGGGUCUAAAGGGUCCGUAGCCGGGCCAAUCAGUCUUCUGGGAAAUCUGGCAGCUCAACUGUCAGGCGACUAGGGGAUACUGUUGGCCUUGGGACCGGAAGAGGUAAGAGGUACUUUAGGGGUAGGAGUGAAAUCUUGUAAUCCUUAAGGGACCACCAGUGGCGAAGGCGUCUUACCAGAACGGGUCCGACGGUGAGGGACGAAAGCUAGGGGCGCAAACCGGAUUAGAUACCCGGGUAGUCCUAGCCGUAAACGAUGUUCGCUAUGUGUCAGGGACGGCGUGACCGUUCCUGGUGCCGAAGGGAAGCUGUGAAGCGAACCACCUGGGAAGUACGGCCGCAAGGCUGAAACUUAAAGG